GUGAGGACUAUUCGCUUCCUGAACCAGACGUAUAGAGGGAAAGUCUGCAAGAACUGACCUCUGAUUCAGUGGAGCACAGCACAGUGGGCUCUGGGAUAAUGAUCAGCCUUGAGGGGAAGAUUCACCUUGAACUAACAUCUAUUACCAGUCUUCCUCACUUUCUUUUUCUUUUUAAUUUUCUCCCCAAAGUCCCAGUACAUAGUUAUAUAUCCUAGGUGUAGGUCAUUGUAGUUCUACGUCAGCCGCUGCCACAGCAUGGCAACCGACAGACGGGUGGUGUGGUUCUGCGAGCAGGAAGUGAACCUGGGCUGCUGAAGUGAUUACUCCUGAGCUGACAUCUGUGCCAGUCUUCCUCUACUUUGUAUGUGGGACGCCUCCACAGCAUGGCUGAUGAGUGGAGUAGGUCUGCACCUGGGAUCCAAACCUGCAGACCUGGGCCACUGAAGCAGAACGUGCAGAACCUUAACCACUUGGCCACGGGGCCAGCCAACUAGUUUUGUAACAGUUCCCACAGGGCUGGGACUCAGACCUCUGAGGAGGGGGUGCUAGCCAGCUGGUGUUGGUGUCUCCAAGACAGCACAAUGAAGCUUGUUCUGUCUGUGUUAGAAAAACUGCCAGCUGGAGUCUACUGUUGCUACUGGAAUGAACGUCUCUGCUGGGCUGAAGAUCAAGGCUGGGUGAUACUGGCAGGAACUGGAGGCAAACAGGAAAUCCAGAGAAAGCAAACAGGAAGGAGGCAGUCUCUUCUUCCUUCCCGGACUCUGAGUUUUCCUCUAGAGCUCCUAUGGGCAGAACCUAAGAGGGAGCCGUUUGGCAAAGCAGAAGCCCCAGCCUCAGCCCCAGUAUUACAGAGCAGAGAGCAGCAGAGCGGGGUUGAAGCUAGAAGCAAUAACUCAAUAACUGGCUCUGUGAAGUGUCCCGGGGUUAGGGAUAGUGAGCAGCCAUUACCACCCUUUGCCCCUUCCCAGUGCCCCUUCUGAUCUAUUCUCCACCCUUCUCCAUCUGCUUGGUGGCCUAGGCUGUUGAUCUGUGUGAUAUACAACAGGCUGUCUGGCUUUCCAACUGCUGGUGGUGAGCACCCAUAAAAGAUGGGAAGAAAGGAGGAG
rnacentral:lncRNA from 1 species